AUUGAACGCUGGCGGCAGGCUUAACACAUGCAAGUCGAGCGAGCGGCGGACGGGUGAGUAAUGUCUGGGAAACUGCCUGAUGGAGGGGGAUAACUACAGGAAACGGUAGCUAAUACCGCAUAUCCACAGAGGUGCACAGAUGGGAUGAGAUAUGAGGUGGGGUAAUGGCUCACCUAGGCGACGAUCCCUAGCUGGUCUGAGAGAAUGUCCAGCCACACUGGAACUGGGGCACGGUCCAGACUCCUACGGGAGGCAGCAGUGGGGAAGAUGGCACAAUGGGCUCAAGCCUGAUGCAGCAAUGCCGCGUGUGUGAAGAAGGCCUUCGGGUUGUAAAGCACUUUCAGCGAGGAGGCGUUACUCGCAGAAGAAGCACCGGCUAACUCCGUGCCAGCAGCCGCGGUAAUAC
rnacentral:rRNA from 1 species